AUACGGAGGGUGCAAGCGUUAAUCGGAAUUACUGGGCGUAAAGCGUACGUAGGCGGUUCGUUAAGUUAGAUGUGAAAGCCCCGGGCUUAACCUGGGAACUGCAUUUAAAACUGGCGAACUAGAGUUGAGUAGAGGGGAGUGGAAUUUCACGUGUAGCGGUGAAAUGCGUAGAGAUCUAAAGGAACACCAGUGGCGAAGGCGACUCCCUGGACUCGAACUGACGCUGAGGUACGAAAGCGUGGGUAGCAAACGGAAUUAGAAACCCUAGUAGUCC
rnacentral:rRNA from 1 species